rnacentral:rRNA from 1 species
GACGAACGCUGGCGGCGUGCUUAACACAUGCAAGUCGAACGGAAAGGCCCUGCUUUUGUGGGGUGCUCGAGUGGCGAACGGGUGCGUAACACGUGAGUAACCUGCCCUUGACUUUGGUAUAACUUCAGGAAACUGGGGCUAAUACCGGAUAGGAGCUCCUGCUGCAUGGUGGGGGUUGGAAAGUUUCGGCGGGUGGGGAUGGACUCGCGGCUUAUCAGCUUGUUGGUGGGGUAGUGGCUUACCAAGGCUUUGACGGGUAGCCGGCCUGAGAGGGUGACCGGCGACAAUGGGACUGAGAGACGGACCAGACGGGUACGGGAGGCAGCAGGGGGGAAUAUUGCACAAUGGGCGGAAGUCGGAUGCAGAAACGCCGCGUGCGGGAUGACGGCCUUCGGGGUGUAAACAGCUUUCGCCUGUGACGAAGCGGGAGUGACGGUAAUGGGUAAAGAAGCACCGGCUAACUACGUG